rnacentral:rRNA from 1 species
UACGUAGGGUGCAAGCGUUAAUCGGAAUUACUGGGCGUAAAGCGUGCGCAGGCGGCUUUGUAAGACAGGUGUGAAAUCCCCGGGCUUAACCUGGGAACUGCAUUUGUGACUGCAUGGCUGGAGUGCGGCAGAGGGGGAUGGAAUUCCGCGUGUAGCAGUGAAAUGCGUAGAUAUGCGGAGGAACACCGACGGUGUAGGCGGCUUACUGGGCCAGAACUGACGCUGAGGCACGAAAGCGUGGGGAGCAAACAGG